UACGGGGGGAGCAAGCGUUGUUCGGAUUUACUGGGCGUAAAGGGCGCGUAGGCGGUCCGAUAAGUCCCGUGUGAAAGCCCCCGGCUCAACUGGGGGACUGCACGGGAAACUGACGGACUUGAGUUCGGGAGAGGGAAGCGGAAUUCCGGGUGUAGCGGUGAAAUGCGUAGAUAUCAGGAGGAACACCUGUGGUGUAGACAGCUUACUGGACCAUUUCUGACGCUGAGACACGAAAGCGUGGGUAGCAAACAGG
rnacentral:rRNA from 1 species